rnacentral:rRNA from 1 species
UGGGGAAUUUUGCACAAUGGGGGAAACCCUGAUGCAGCGACGCCGCGUGAUUUAGAAGGCCUUCGGGUUGUAAAAAUCUUUGCUAUGGGAAGAAAAUGACAGUACCAUAGGAAUAAGGACCGGCUAAUUACGUGCCAGCAGCCGCGGUAAUACGUAAGGUCCGAGCGUUGUCCGGAAUCAUUGGGCGUAAAGGGUACGUAGGCGGGUAAGCAAGUUAGAAGUGAAAUCCUAUAGCUCAACUAUAGUAAGCUUUUAAAACUGCUCAUCUUGAGGUAUGGAAGGGAAAGUGGAAUUCCUAGUGUAGCGGUGAAAUGCGCAGAUAUUAGGAGGAAUACCGGUGGCGAAGGCGACUUUCUGGCCAUAACCUGACGCUGAGGUACGAAAGCGUGGGUAGCAAACAGG